CAUAAUAGAGUGAAGAUCUUCUAGGAUUCUUGAGAAGAGGGGUGUACUUGAUCCUAAUGGGCUGGGCCACAGGCCCAAGUCUGAGUGACCCAGAAAAGUUGAGUGAUUUGAAGCUGGGCAAGCAGUAAGAGAAAGUGGACUGAUAGAGGUUCUGGGUCUGAGAGAGCAAGGAUAAUGGGCCUCGGCCCAAGCCCAACAGCCCCUGUGGUGGUGUACUGGGCCCAGUGGUCUUUGCAACACAGCCGAAGGUGUAGGCUGGAAUAGGGUCAGUGGCAAGAGUAACCGUGUCUUGAACCAGGUUAGCACCAAUGGUGGAGCCACCAUAAGUCAAGUUGAAGCUGCAGGAGCUGCUUCCACAACUAGGGUUAGGCACCUGAAAAUUUAUAAAAUUGAAUUAUGAUUAAAGUUUAUUUUUUUAAUAAAAAAGAAUGUUUAUUAUAAUUUAGAUUUAUAAAAUUUAAAACUUGGGAUCGUAAAAAUAAAAAUUUAUUUAUUCUUUACAACAAUGAAAAUGACCUUAGUGAGUUUUUUUUUUAUAUACAAAGUUCAAACAUCAAAUACAUUCUAUGAAGCUCGGACAAUCCUCUUAAAUGACGUGUCGGUGUCUGAUACUCGUAUUGGACACCGACACUUGUAUGACACCUGUAGGACACGUAUUCGUGAAGUGUCCAAUUCAAAAAGUAUUUGUUAAAUUUCUGACAAUUCUAAUAGGUUCUAACACAAUUUUAAAAAGGAAAAAUAUUUUUUUUCAAAAUUCAAACUUUAUUGUAUAAAUUGAUAUUAUAAUUAUAAAAAUAAGAAACAAAUCAUUGUGAAGCAUUCAUGAAAAAUAUCUUUCUACUCUAAAACAUAAUCUAGAACUUAUUUGUGCACAUAAAUCUUUAUUGUCAAUUUAUAUAAUUCAUAAUUAUAUAAUAUAUAGAUGAGUGUCUGUGCAAUACAGGUUACAUCCCUUAUAUUUUACACUAAAUUGUUUUAAUUAUUUAAAAUAAUACAUCAUCUGAUCAAGAUAUACAAAGUUCAAGGAUCAAAUCUUACUUACAUUCCUUAUAUUUUGCACUAAGAUUUUUUAAUUAUUUAAAAACAGUACAGCAUCAAACCAAGAUAUUACUAAACAAUUAACACCAUAAGAAGGUACAAUUUGAAAGACAGAAAAGAGCCUUAGAAAGAGGUUGGUUUAGCAUAAAAAAACAAGUCUCGUGAACCCUUCCAUCCUUGUCAGGGUGGCAAAGACUGCAGAAUUGCACAUAGUUUUCAAAAAAAUUGGAAUUUUUGGAUGGAAAAAAGGCACAGUAAGUCAACCCCACAAGCUAAGGGACAAGGGAAUGCAUGUUUCUAUGUGAUGAUGAUAACUAAGAGAAUCAUUGGACUCUCUUUCUCCUUCCAAUUCAAGAAAAUGAAAAAGACUAAUCACAAAAAAUCAAUCUUGGCCCUCCAAACUAUAAUGUUUUUAUCGAUUAUCACAAUUUUCUAUGUGCUGUACUCUAUUCUGGUGGGAAAAGAAGUCACAUGUUUCUUAGGAAAAAAAAAUGUAUGGGACACCACUAAGACACAAAGUGACAGAAAGAUUAAGAAAAAUAUAAACAUUACAUGAUGUGAUAAGUAAUAAUAAUUAAUAAACAAUUUUAAUAAAGUGAGUGUCUUCUUUGAUUCUUUCUAAGUUUUUAAUGAUUUCUAAACUCUGUUUCUGUUUUUUUGAACAUCUCUUCAACAUUUUCUUUUCUAUUAUAUUUUAAGUUGAUGGAAGAACAGUGAAACAAAUAACUAAUACCAAUAGUUAGAAGCUAUUCAGUCAUCACAAGAAAAAUAAUGUAAAAUGGAUUUAGAUCUUGGCAUGUUGUGUUUGUCUUUUCUCUUCUGGUUGCAUCUGAUAGUUCUAGCAUGAAUGCUACAUUUUAAAUAGGAAUAGCAACUUUAACCUAUUAAACUGGUUUAUGCCUUUGUGUGUUAUUUACACUUGCAUUAACCCUUUGGAUUAUUAUAUAAAAAACAUUAGACUGUCAUGAUUUUAUAAGCAAUAUAGCUAUGGAGUUUUAGAAAAGCAAAAUAACAAAAUCAUGCAGAAUCUAAAAGACUUUGUAAAUGUCAGUGUAGUUUAGUAAAGAAAAAAAUGAUAAGAUUCAGAAAUGUGGCUAACCUGUUUGCAUUCAGGAGCACCACAGCUAACAUUCUUGAAUGUGGUGGACUUUUCAGGAGCAAACAAGGUUGAUGUGCAGCCCUCACAGGCAGUGCAAGGAAUCCAAGCAGCAUCAUUGCUAGUAUCCAUGGCCAAGAGCAAGGUUUGUGGUGGGGUACCUAUUUUGGCUCUUACAAUGUAAGUUGGGCUCUGAAUAAUCUGUCUGCCAGAGGCAAUGGGAACAACUGACCUCCCAGCCACCAAGCUAGCCAGAAACUGCAUCCUGGAUUGGUCCUUGGCCUGCAGUUGUAGGACACUCUCUUCCCAUGAAAGUGCCUUUGAUGGCCUAAAUGGGGAACAAGGGCUGAAUACAUGGAAAACUUGCAGGGUUGAGCCAUGGUCUUGGGUGUCAC
rnacentral:lncRNA from 1 species